AACGAACGCUGGCGGCAAGCUUAACACAUGCAAGUCGAACGGAUUAUUCUUUAUAGCUUGCUAUGGAGGAUAAUUAGUGGCAGACGGGUGAGUAAUGCAUAGGAAUCUACCUAGUAGUAUGGGAUAGCCACUAGAAAUGGUGGGUAAUACUGUAUAAUCCCUGUGGGGGAAAGAUUUAUCGCUAUUAGAUGAGCCUAUGUUAGAUUAGCUAGUUGGUAGGGUAAAGGCCUACCAAGGCGAUGAUCUAUAGCUGGUCUGAGAGGAUGAUCAGCCACACUGGAACUGAGAUACGGUCCAGACUCCUACGGGAGGCAGCAGUGGGGAAUAUUGGACAAUGGGCGCAAGCCUGAUCCAGCUAUGCCGCGUGAGUGAGGAAGGCCUUAGGGUUGUAAAACUCUUUCAGUAGGGAAGAUAAUGACGGUACCUAC
rnacentral:rRNA from 1 species